GUGCCAGCAGCCGCGGUAAAACGUAGGAGGCAAGCGUUAUCCGGAGUUACUGGGCGUAAAGCGCAUGUAGGCGGUUUCUCAAGUGGCGUGUGAAAGCUCCCGGCUAAACUGGGAGAGGACACGUCAGACUGAGAGGCUAGAGGGGGCUAGAGGGGCGCAGAAUUCGGGGUGUAGCGGUGAAAUGUGUAGAGAUCCCGAGGAAUACCAGUGGUGAAGACGGCGCCCUGGGGCCUUACUGACGCUGAGAUGCGAAAGCGUGGGGAGCGAACGGGAUUAGAUACCCCUGUAGUCC
rnacentral:rRNA from 1 species